CGGUAACAGCUCAAAUUUGAAAGCUAGCUCUUUUAGGGUUCGCAUUGUAAUUUGUAGAAGAUGCUUCGGGUGUGGCUCCGGUCUAAAUUUCUUGGAACAGAAUGUCAAAGAGGGUGAGAAUCCCGUCUUGGACCGGCGGUAGGGCCUGUGUAAAACUCCUUCGAC
rnacentral:rRNA from 1 species